rnacentral:rRNA from 1 species
GGACCUACGGGGCGCAGCAGUGGGGGAUAUUGCACAAUGGGGGGAACCCUGAUGCAGCGACGCCGCGUGGGCGAUGGAGUACUUCGGUAUGUAAAGCUCUAUCAGCAGGGAAGAAGAAAGACGGUACCUGACUAAGAAGCCCCGGCUAACUACGUGCCAGCAGCCGCGGUAAUACGUAGGGGGCAAGCGUUAUCCGGAUUUACUGGGUGUAAAGGGAGCGUAGACGGCAUAGCAAGUCUGAAGUGAAAGCCCGUGGCUCAAC